UUAUGCAACUAGUUAGUCUUGAAGGCUCCAUCCAACUCCAAGAUAAUUUCUGAUCUCAGAAGCUAAGCAAAGUUGGGCCUGGUUAGUACUAGGAGACUGCUUGGGCUAACUGGGUGCUGUAGGCA
rnacentral:rRNA from 1 species